rnacentral:misc_RNA from 1 species
AUUACGAAAGCUAUAGCCCCUCCGGGGGUUAUUGCAUCCACCCUUUGUCUACGUGUACCUCUGUUGUUUCCUCGGCGGGCUUGCCCGCCGCUAGGAACCCCUUAAACUCUUGUAUUUACAGUAUUAAAAUCUCUGAUAACUAUUUAAAUUAUUA